rnacentral:lncRNA from 1 species
CGAUCUGCUCCUUCCUCUUGUUCUUCAGAUCGUCUUCCAUGUACUGGCGACGACUGCUGGAGGCCGAAGCAGCGGGUGGCGCCGCUGGGGAAAGGAGCUGCUGCGGUUGGCUUCGGUGGGCGCUGGGUUUCGUCUUCUUCUCCUCUGCUUCGGGUGGCAGAUCGGUGGCUUGGUGGAGAUGGGAGAACGGCUCUGUAGGGAGGAGCUGGAAACCCGAGAUGGCAGGGGAGAGAAGAGGGGCGGCGCUGAAAAAAGGUGGUGUUGUGGUCGGCUGAAGAGGUUCUGGCCGGCGGUGAGAUGGUGUGGGUUUGUGAAGGAUAUAUUAUCAACCGGCUGAGGGGGAGGAGAAAAUUCCAGCCGGUGAGUUGCUGUUUGGCCCGUGGGGAAAAAUCAAAUGCCAGGGGUCUUUGUUUCUCUGGUUUCGGCUGGGGAAGGAGGCUGAAAUGGGGUUGUCGGGUUGAAGAUGGGGGCGGCUUCGGCUGUUGUUUUGGAUUUGUUUGUGGCCGAGAGAAAGGGAACGGCGGAGAAAGAAGAUGAAAACAGGGGGAGGCUGGUUCGGGUGGCCGGUUUUUUUGGGUCAGAAAAAUCAAACCGAGGAGCAACUCCGGGAGACCAAAAAUGAAAACCAGGGGGGGCGGCUGGUGUGAAGGAAAAAGGUUUUUUUUUUUUUAGGGUUAGGGUUUCUGUAUUUUUUUUCUUCUAAAAGUGUCAAAAUUACCCCCCUUGAAUGUUUGAGGGUAUUUAUAGGCAAAAUGUUGCUAGGUUUUUCAACUUGGUCCCUCAACUUCUUUCUUUUUUGUAAAUUUUGAUUUUUCUUAUUUUUUUGUAUUUUUUUGAAAACGAGCAAUAUCAACGUCGACUUAAAUGCGAAAAACAAUGAUUUAAAAAUGACGCGUGAAACGUCGAACGUUUGAAAAUAUUUUAACCAUUUAAAUUCUUUUUUUAGACGACGUUAAAAAUGCUAAAAUGACGAAAAUAUAUUAAAAAACAUAUUUUUGGAUUUUCUUUUUUUCUCAAUUUUUUUGGAUUUUUGAAAAUAUAUCAAAACAUGGGUCAAAAAAUGGGUAGCAACAGAUGCCCCCUCUUUACAAUGCUUACGAAGCGAAAAAACCUCAAAAUUUUGCAUAGUAAGCUUUGUAAAGAAAACAAAAGGAAAAUGAUUUCAUUAUCUUGGGCAACCUGCCUACACAUACUCACUCUAGUCUAUUUUCACGGGCGACCUGCCCACAUAUUGGGUUUACCUGAGAUCCCAUCUGGCGACCUCAUUCAACUGGAACGAAAAUUUUGUGUAACUCGGUUAACCUGAAAUCCCAUCUGGCGAUUCCCUUUAACCAAAGCUACCCGAGAUCCCAUCUGGCGACCUCGUUUAACCAAAACAAAAGAAUGUGUGAAAAAUGGUCUCAUUGUAUGGGUGACAAACCCAAGAAAAAAAUGAUGGUCUCAUUGUAUGGGUGACGAACCCUAGAAAAAUGAUGGUCUCAUUGUAUGGGUGACGAACCCCAGAAAUAUGAUGGUCUCAUUGUAUGGGUGACGAACCCUAGAAAUAUGAUGAAGUGCGGUCUCAUUGUCAUGGGUGACCUACCCGGAUGGAAAAAAUGUGAAAAACGGUCUUAUUAUGAUGGGCGACCUACCCAGAUGGAAAAAAAUGUGAUAUGACAAGUGUGAAAAAUAGGACUUACCUGGCGAAGUUCUGAAGGGAUGACAGAAGAAAGGGCUGGAAGACUUGGUGCUUCCUGAUAAUUCCCGAUCAUGAGGUUUGAAAACUCGGUGUUUCCUGACUGCAAGGGUUGAAAACUCGAGGCUUCCCGGUUGCAAGGUUGAUCUAUUCAUUUCUUUGGGAUUUUCCUAAUGGUAGGGUUCAUCCCAUCGUCCUUUUAUUCCAUGAUCAAACCGAUUCUUUAUUAUCAUCACCACAAUGCUUCUUUCUCUUUCCACCAUCUUACUGGACCUCAUUAAGGAUUUUCCUGUAACAAUUCAAAAAUAUGUGCAGAUGGUUUUUUUUUUUUUUUUUUAGGUUAGAUGAUAUGCAUGCAUCCUUACCUGAUUUGAAAUAAUAGGUCCCCCCUCUUUGAUGCUCCAUCGUCAUAGGGUGCCCUUGUUUGUAUCCCAAAGCUUUCUUUGUUCUUCCGAUGUAUUGGCUCAUUCAUGUGUUAGCCAUCCACUCAGCUGUAAAUGCAGUGCCCAUCCCGGGCGGGCUGUCUUCGACAAUUACUGCUUGCAUCGUUCAUGAAGCUUGACCCUGCCCCCAAGUGUGGUGCUGCUUGAUUCAUCCUGAAGGAUUUUCUCUCCUAGCUUCCUCUGAGAAUUAUCUUCUGAUUGAUUGUGUGCAUCAUGCCAAUACCCAUCAAGAUUGUUAAUCAGUCAUGAACUUGCCUCUAGUUGAAACAGUAUUCUUCAAGCACAUGUUAUCAUCAGCCUUCUUGGAACUCAUCCAGUCAUCCAGACAUGCAUCUCAUAACUUGCAGUACAAAGGCUCAUGGUUGUAUGUUCAGUGUUCUUCUCAAUAGAUUCCCUUCAAACUCUUCUAAUCAGAUUUGUGAAAAGAAAUGUCUCAGCCUCAUCAAUGAUGCUGCUUUUUUUAUCCCCCAUACUCAUGCGGUGAAGCGCUCAUCUGGCUUCAGAACAAGUUGUCCCACAACCAUGUUGCAAAGGAUGACAAUAUGAGAUUGUCCUUUAAGUGCAGCAUUGUUCCACAGUCAGUCUUGGUGGUGUGCAUAUGUUCGAUGUUCAUUCAAAUGCACUCACCCGAUAACAUCUGUCAGGAGCCACAACCAUGUUUCAGAGGGUGACCCAAGAUGAAGAUAUGAAAAUAUCCUUCAAGUAAAGCGUUGCUCAUCAAUUGCUGCUGAAGUUCACUAAAUCAUGGAUUGUCUUUGAACGACAUUGCCCCUAGUUGAUCUGAACAUGCUCAUUCUUCUGUUUACAACCAAAUGGCUUUUGUGAAUGCCAGGAAUGACUUUGAUGGACUUUGAUGACUCAUCAUGUGAUUCUUUCUUUGCCCCCAGCUGAUCUGGAUACUGUUUGUUUUUCCUUUUCAAGGUCUACUGUAUUGCCCCCAGCUGCUCAACUUUUCAAGGAGUGUCGAGGACUUCAAUGUCAUUUCUAUCAACGAUUUUGCAUACUCAAUCAAUGUUCUUCUGUGUUUGAUAAUCUUCCUUGUUCUGGAAUCAACUCUCAUAUUUCAAAGAUCAUGUCUAUUCAAAGUCUAGUUUGUUGAAAUGAAAUCAGAGAUGUCUUUUUGAAAAUCUUUUGAAAAUCAAGCUUUUUGAUCAAAGGCCCAACACAUUUUAUUCGAAAUAUAUAGUCCUUUGAUUGUCAUGCAUUUUGAAAACAGAAAUUGACCCAAUGUAGGAUUAAAAAUGGCUUUUUCCAUGGUUCUUUGUAUCAAUUUGAAUCCUUGAUAUUGGGUAUAUCAUUUGAUAGUCUAUGAUGAGGUGACCUUUGCAUGAAUUUCAAAAAAAACAAAUGCUCAAGUCAAAACUUGGCUUUAUCAAGAAAGGUUGUUUCUUUCUUAUAACUUGUUUUAUCAGCAUGCAUAAUAACCAAUAGCUUAAUUCAUGAAGUCACGACCCUUAUGGAAAAACUCUUCAAGUUUUGAGAGCGCCAUUUAUCGGUUCAAAUUGCUUGCUUGAUUAAAAAGGGCUUUUAAAAGCACGUAAUGCAGGCUAUGGUUCAUGGCUAUGAAAGAAAGGAAUUUCAAAGGCUCAAAAGGUGUUUGAGGGUUUCAAAGACCUAGGAUCAACAUCAACUAUUCAUCAACUCUUUUAUUGUUGUCUUUGUAGAGGAAACGACAUAUAACCUUGUUAACCUCAAAGUUCAGACUUUUCUUAACAUAAGUCAUAAUGCAAAUCCACCUUUCCUUGAUGAAUAACCAACCUUAAUCAUCUGAUAACAUCAAGGCUUUAUAAUGGACACCAAAAGUCACGUUUAUAGCUUAGUCUUUUUCUGGUAUUGACUUUUGUUGUGCCUUUCCUUGAUUGAAAUUUCUUUUGCUCUUCAUAGACUUGAUAGGCGUUCUCCUUCCUUUAUCUUUGACUUGUAUUUAAGUGAGGAAUUUCAACUUCCUUUUUUUUUCUUUUUUUUUCAUAGCCUUCCUCAAAAUUUUCUUAUAUGCCCCAGUCUAUGUGUUUUCUUUUAGCUCUUCUCAAUCAUUGGACUUUGUUCUAAGCCUUCCCCUUUAUCCAUUAAUUAUAUCAAUGUCUCCAAAAUAUCUCUCAUUUGCCCCCAGUGUGGGGUGUGAUCCUAGUCAGGGUUUCUUUUUGAAAGAAAAUAUUUUACCAGCUCAAAAUGGGACUACAAGGGAUAUAAUCUUUAGAAAGUGAAGAGAUAUCAAAGAUGGCCUUUUCUCAUUUCAAGCAAGGUCGGUUAGAACCGAUAAAUUUUGACCUCAUCUAGUGUAAUGAUUUGUACUUGCAAGAAUCAUGAUUCACGAGUCCAUAACUAUUGAAUCCACUACAUGUCAUUAUGCAUACUGCUAAAACUUAGCUAUAUGAUGUGUGGUUCAAUCUUGUGUAUGAGCUCAAAAUUUGUUUGGUCACCUCAUGUCAUUUCAACAAGAAUCGAGUCAUUUCUGCAAUCAAAACACUUUGUCAAAAUAAAAUGUUAAACAUCUGUUGAUUUCAAAACAACAAAAAGACAAAAGUUAGGCAUGUUUCGUUGAAGGAUGAGAUGUGAUAUCAAAACAAAAAUGCAAAAUCCAUAACAAAAAUGCUUGACAGUUUAACUCCUUCUUGGAUCAGCUUCUCUGGCAAUAUCUAUGUUUUGCCGAGCAAUUCCGAUCACUUAUCAUUCUAAAAAUGAUUGAUGACAUCAUCUUUUGCAAAUUGAGCUCGACUCUUGAAACUCUUGCAUCUGUUUACUAAAAUGGUCGAGGACCCCACCAUGACAUCACAUCUCUUAUCUGGAUUAUACCACCUAGAAAUUGGUGGUUGCAUGGGAUUUGUCGGAGUCAAGCAAAAAUUCUAGAAUUUGGCAGGUGUUGGCCGACAAACAUAAGUGGCAGAGGAAUGUCAAUCUUGGCAAAGACAUUUGAGCAAUUGAUGCUUGAGCGAGACUUGACUAGGCAAAGUAACUGAGGUUUCUCAAUCGAGAGUCAUCUUCUGAUGCACCUCUCAUCAUUGUUCUGGAAUCCAUGGCAGAUCCUUCAAUCUUUCCUCUCUUCAUAGCUUGUUCAAUUCUUCGGCCAAUCCUCACAACAUCAUUUCAAUGUUGUUGUGGUUGGUUGAGGAUUGUUAGAAAACUUUCCAAUAGCUUGGUAAUCUUGGCAGCGCCUAGAAACUCGUACUAUCGCCGCUACCGACGUGUGGAAUCACACAUUGUCUCUAUUGGAAGAGCACCUGGUGAAUCUAAAACUCUUUUGUCCCCUCUUCAAUUUCUCACUGACAGUGCAGCAAACAAACACCUAUAGAGGAAGUCCUGCUCUGUUGAAGUUUCAGUCUUCUUCAUGUUUUUCAGUCUAGGCAUGUCUCUUCUCUCUACUCUUGCAUUUUAAUACUGACACUGUUGGAGGAAAAUCAUAGCUGAUCUGAAACUACUGUAUUCCUUCUUGGAUUUCCCAUUUGCAGAUCUACAAACAGAUUCCUGUUGAAAGAGCUCUGCUACGUUGAAGUUUGAAGUCUGCUCGUAUUUUUCAGACCAGGUCUGGAUCUUCAAUGUACUAAAAUGUCUCCGUGCUGAAACUGAUGAGAGAAAUAUUUGUAGCAUAUAUGCAACUUAUAAAUUCCCUCUUGCAUUCCCAAUUUGCAGAGCCAUAAAUGGAUUUUUAUGGAGGGAGCUCUGCCACAUUGAAGUUCAGUGUUUAAUCAUGGUUUUUCAGACCAUCUUGUGCUGCUGAACUGGAGUUGAGCUCAUAAUUGGGGUGGCUUCCAAGAAGACUAAUGCGCCAUGUACAAGAGGCUAGUAGUCGUUUGGUUCCAUUAGAUGAUGUGGAGGCGAUGAACAUUUAACAGUGCAAGUGGGCAAGAACCAGAGUUGUCAUUAGUUGAUGACUAAAGGCAUUGUUGUUGUUGUUCAUGACGGAAAAGGAGAGAUACAGCUUCAAUUGGACAGGAACAAGCAGUGUUCCCACAGAAAACUAUGCAGACACUCUCUUUCCAUUUGAUGCUCAACACUUGUUCGAGCAGAUCUGAGUCCCGCUACUUCACCCUUGAUGCUCUCAACCUUAAUCUGAUAAUGAACCUAUAUCUGACUCCUUUGUUCACUUCCAUUAUCUUUCUUCAAUCUCAUGCAGCACAGCUUGUACAGGGGACCUACGUUUCAGCCCGGUACAUGCAUGAUAAAUGUAUGAACAUGUAAUCUAUAUGAUGAACUCACCCUUCGAGAGGUGACAAUAUGGUCGUAACUCUUGUAUGAUGGACAAGAAUCGUGAUUUUUGCCCAAACUCUACAAUGAAAAUUUUCGGAGCAACGGCCAAUGUGUCACCCACAAGUCUUGAGUUCAAGAUGCUUCAAGAAGGGUUUGCCCUUAUGCAAAAAACGAUAGCACAUACAACCUAAGGACAGGUUCUAUUCAUUAUGUGAACAUGGGUAGGUUUUCUAUCUGGUCUCAAAAGGGUCUCAUAUCUGCCCAGUGACGUUCUUCGUAAAGACAGUAUGGGGGCGUUGCAAAGAAUGGUUAAGGCACGUAUACCCACCAUUACCAAGCAGGCACUCAGAUAUGAGUUGGGUGUUUCACGCAUCUGAACCCUGACCAAUAGUCUUAGGGCAGAUCGCUAGUUCCCCACCUAACCUAGAGGCUUGCGUGUGCUUUUCAAAAUAAAUACAGGUGAUGCAUGAAACAAUUCUAAAAAUGCAUGGAAAAAAUAUAACAAGAUAAAAAUGCAAAAAUUUAAACACAUCAAAUACACAAAGCUUAGUCCAAUAAUGUCAGAAACAAUACCUUCCCCAGUGGAGUCGCCAUUCUGUCGCACCCCAAAAAAAAAAUCAGCGCGCGGCAUCGGCUGGCGAUUUAAAUCUCGUUUAUUGCGUUUGCUUGAAUUUGGUUCGUUGGAGUCGCCACCUAGUAAUUGAUUUCGGGCUACUAGGAAACCGGAUGUACUGGUCUUGCCAAAGAUUCGCGGGUAAGUGACUGGUUGUGGUUAGGGAAGGUAUUAGCACCCCUAACGCACCCUACCUGAGGUAAGCUGCUUCGUGGCUUUGACGUGUUAAAGAAGUUUUAAUAAUUGUCUUUUCUUCGGAAAUUAGAAAUAUCACUUACGUAUAAGUUAAUAAUUCUUAACCGUGAUCUGAUCAAAAUAUUAAAUUCUUCUUCAAUAUAUUUCCAAUUUUAUCCUAAAAAAACAAAUAUAUAUAAUAUAUAUAUAUAUAUAUAUAUAUAUAAAUAAGUAAAACAAAAUACAAACACACACAUUCCCUAUUUUCAUUUCUUUUCUUUUUCUUUUCUUUUACAUCCACAAUACAAAUACAAAUUCAAAUACAAAAUAAAUAAAUAAAAAUACACCAACACACACAUCCCCUUUUUAUUAUUAUUUUCUCUUCUUUUCUUCUUUUUUUUUUCUUUUACAUUCACAUAUUACAAAUUUAAAAUAAAUAAACAAAAAUUACAUUAAAACUUUAAAAUUUACAAAAUGGUCCCUCAAAACUCCCGAAAUUGCAGGGAAGGACUUAUGCACCCGUAUGACCAGUUCCGGCGCGCCUCUGCCACUGGCGGCGCGUGGGUUCACGCGCCGCCCAGAAAUUCAGGCGGCGUGAGGGGGCUGCAAUGGCUUCCUCCCCUCUUCAAUCUCCUGCUGCCCGUCACCUGCAAAACGAACAACAACACAAUCGGCAGUCGAUUUUAAUUUUGUUCUUUGUUUUUUUUUUUUCAAAAUCUGCUUCGGAUCUGAUUUUUUUGGUCUUCCUUUCUUCUCCGAUCUGCUCCUUCCUCUUCUUCUUCAGAUCGUCUUCCAUGUACUGGCGACGACUGCUGGAGGCCGAAGCAGCGGGUGGCGCCGCUGGGGAAAGGAGCUGCUGCGGUUGGCUUCGGUGGGCGCUGGGUUUCGUCUUCUUCUCCUCUGCUUCGGGUGGCAGAUCGGUGGCUUGGUGGAGAUGGGAGAACGGCUCUGUAGGGAGGAGCUGGAAACCCGAGAUGGCAGGGGGAGAGAAGAGGGGGCGGCGCUGAAAAAGGUGGUGUUGUGGUCGGCUGAAGAGGUUCUGGCCGGCGGUGAGAUGGUGUGGGUUUGUGAAGGAUAUAUUAUCAACCGGCUGAGGGGGAGGAGAAAAUUCCAGCCGGUGAGUUGCUGUUUGGCCCGUGGGGAAAAAUCAAAUGCCAGGGGUCUUUGUUUCUCUGGUUUCGGCUGGGGAAGGAGGCUGAAAUGGGGUUGUCGGGUUGAAGAUGGAGGGGGCGGCUUCGAGCUGUUGUUUUGGAUUUGUUUGUGGCCGAGAGAAAGGGAACGG